rnacentral:lncRNA from 1 species
GGGGUACAGGUGGUUUAGUAGAAAUCAAGAAUGACCAAAACUAGCCAUACUCGAUAAGAGCUAAGAUGGAGAUCGAUACACUAUCCAUCGGCUAUAGGUUAGGAUCUGUUCAUCAAGCUUCAUCAAAGUCAUUGAAAGAAAACCCCUUUAACGAGGUCAACUAGGGUUCAAAGUAAUAAGACUUAGUGCCCUUCAACAGAUUCACAAAUCAUGUAGAGAGAAUGAUGGAGAAGAAGAGAGAAACUAGGAGG